CUGCGCCGAAGAUGUCCGGGGCUAAAGUGUAAAACCGAAGUCGUGUCAUAUGCAGCAAUGUAUAUGGGUAGGGGAGCGUUCUCAUUGGGUUGAAGCAGUACCGUAAGGAGUUGUGGACUGAUGAGAAGUGAGAAUGUCGGUAUGAGUAGCGAAAAGAAUGGUGAGAAUCCAUUCCACCGAAAGCCUAAGGGUUCCUGAGCAACGAUCGUCGUCUCAGGGUAAGUCGGGACCUAAGCCGAGGCGGAAAAGCGUAGGCGAUGGACAACAGGUUGAAAUUCCUGUACCGGUGUGAAUCGUUUGAUCGAUGGAGUGACACAGUAAGGUAGGUCAGCACGCGAUUGGAAGUGCGUGUUUAAGCAUGUAGGUUGAGCUAUAGGCAAAUCCGUAGCUCUAAAAGCUGAGAUGUGAUGACGAGUUACUAGCGAUAGUAACGAAGUGAUUGAUCCUACACUGUCGAGAAAAGCUUCUAGGUAGAGACACAUCGCCCGUACCAAAACCGACACAGGUAGGCGGGGAGAGAAUCCUAAGGUGCGCGGGAAAACCCUCGUUAAGGAACUCGGCAAAAUGCCUCCGUAACUUCGGGAAAAGGAGGACUCAUGUAGUGUGAAGUGCAGCAACGCAUGGAGCAUGAAUGAGUGGCACAAGAGAGGCGCAAGCGACUGUUUACCACAAACACAGGUGCCUGCUAAAGCGAAAGCUGAUGUAUAGGUGCUGACACCUGCCCGGUGCUGGAAGGUUAAGAGGAGAGCUUAGACGCAAGUCGAAGGUUUGAAUUGAAGCCCCAGUAAANNNNNNNNNNACCGACUUGCGCACUGUCUCAACGAGGGACCCGGUGAAAUUGAAGUACCUGUGAAGAUGCAGGUUACCCGCGACUGGACAGAAAGACCCCAUGGAGCUUUACUGCAACCUAAGAUUGAACUUAGUUAAUGAAUGUACAGGAUAGGUGGGAGACGUAGAACCUAGGACGCCAGUUUUAGGGGAGUCAUUGUUGGGAUACCACCCUUUCAUUAAUUGAUUUCUAACGGGCCGAGUAACGACCGGCCGGACAGUCUUAGGCGGGCAGUUUGACUGGGGCGGUCGCCUCCUA
rnacentral:rRNA from 1 species